rnacentral:rRNA from 1 species
ACAAGCAGCGGAGCGUGUGGUUUAAUUCGUUGCUACACGAAGAACCUUACCUGGGUUUGACAUAUAGGUUGUAGGGAACUGAAGGGACCGACCUUCGGGAGCCUAGACAGGUGCUGCAUGGCUGUCGUCAGCUCGUGUCGUGAGAUGUUGGGUUAAGUCCCGCAACGAGCGCAACCCUUGUCUUUAGUUGCCAUCAUUUAGUUGGGCACUCUAAAGAGACUGCCGGUGUCAAACCGGAGGAAGGUGGGGAUGACGUCAGGUCCUCAUGGCCUUUAUGACCAGGGCUACACACGUACUACAAUGGCCGGUACAAAGGGCAGCCACUUAGCGAUAAGGAGCCAAUCCCGUAAAGCCGGUCUCAGUCCGGAUUGGAGUCUGCAACUCGACUCCAUGAAGUUGGAAUCGCUAGUAAUCGCAGAUCAGCACGCUGCGGUGAAUACGUUCCCGGGCCUU